CAUGACAACAGAAGCCACAGAAAUCCUCCUCAUCAAAAACAUGACUUUGAUCUCCGUCCUCAUCUGGACUCUCCUCUGCUUCACUCAGGGGUCUGUUGGACAAAAUGUUGUUGUGACUCAGCCAGCAGCCAAAUCAGUGCAGCUCGGUCAAACUGCCUCUAUUGACUGUAAAGUUAAUAGACAAGUUGAUACAUGCUGUUUGCCCACAAAAUAUAUUCUGGCCUGGUACCAACAGAGAGAUGGAGAAGCUCCUAAACUUCUCAUUUAUCAUGCUACCUAUCGAGAAUCAGGGAUUCCAGGUCGUUUUUCAGGCAGUGGAUCAAACUCUGACUUCACUCUGACCAUCAGUGGAGUUCAGGCUGAAGAUGCAGCAGUUUAUUACUGUCAGAGUUAUCAUUGGAUCAACAGUCAGGCUGUGUUCACACAGUGA